ACUUCUGACUUCUAAGUUUUGAUGCCUAUAACUCUAUAAAGUAUCAUCACCAGUGAGCCAAACAGAGCCUCUUUUGGGUCACUCUCAGAUUGGAUGCUUGACAAUGCUUCCAGCUAUUAUUACAACAGACCAAUGAUUUUCAAUAUGAAUCAUAUUCUGGAUUCAAUUACAAUGACUCAAUAGGUACUUAACACAAUUUUUUGUUUACUUUCGGAUAGAAUUGUAUACCAUUUCUUUAGUCUUGUGGGACCCAGAUUGCACUGAUAAUGGACAAGAACGUUGGGUGACACAAGAUGAAGCAUACUCUGCGGUUAAAGAAAACAUGGCAAGAAGCAACCAAGUCAAGCGUGCCUAGGAUGGUUGGUAAUCUGGUUUACAGAGUAAGUCCAGUGUCAGCUGCACUCUCUGUUGGGAGGCGAGAGUUCUAUGUUCUGUUUGUUGAAGAAGGUUUGGAUUUUAGCAGUAUCCAUAGGAAAAAGGAAGCUAGGAAGAGUUUCGAGAAAGUCAUCAAACUCUCUGAAAAACUCAAGUAAACUUCGAAGCAUGAUCUUAACAUGAUUGCUGAUAAAAGAUACUUUGUUUGAGACUAUUAAAUGAAACAUUUUGGUCAUUCUCCUAAAUAGACCAUUUUCAGUUCAUGAUUGCUGAUAAAAGAUACUUUGUUUCAUUUAGGGUCUUUUUACCUAUUAAAUGAAACAUUUUACUCAUUUUCGUUCUUGUAGUCUAUUUUUAUGACCAAAACUUCAAAAUAGUCUAUUUAGGAGAAUUGCCCAUAGUAUAAUCACAUUCAAACAUAUUUAAAUUUACUUUACUUUAUAAUCCUUUUUUUUGUUUGGUCUUAAACAUGACAUUAUAUAUAUUAUAUAAAAAUUUGGACUAGGGCCUGACUGGUUCAAACACAGCGGUUGCGGUUGCGGUUGCGGGAGUUUGUGGAUGCGGGCGGUUGCGGUUUCUAGCGGUUUUAAGAGAUUUGUGCGACUGGUACUAUAGUUAAAAAUUGGUGCGUUUGCGGGUGACUUCUGACUGGUUAACUACUAAAUGCAGUAACAGUCAAAUAAUAAAUUAACAAUAUUUACAUUUAAUAUAAUUAUAAAAAUAUCAAAAAUCAUAAAAUUAUAAUAAAUAUAAAAUUUAUAUUUAGAAAGUUAUAAUUUUAAUUUUU